CCCUUARAGUYUGMUCSUGGCUCAKAACRWRYGCUGGCGGCGUGCCUAACACAUGCAAGUCGAACGGAAUUGAKGUGCUUGCACUUCAWUUUAGUGGCGCACGGGUGAGUAACGCGUAGAUAAUCUGCCUGAUGAUCUGGGAUAACACUUCGAAAGAGGUGCUAAUACCGGAUAAGCCCACGGAGUCUUUGGACUCUGCGGGAAAAGGGGGGGACCUUCGGGCCUUCUGUCAUCAGAUGAGUCUGCGUACCAUUAGCUAGUUGGUAGGGUAAUGGCCUACCAAGGCUACGAUGGUUAGCUGGUCUGAGAGGAUGAUCASCCACACUGGAACUGAGACACGGUCCAGACUCCUACGGGAGGCAGCAGUGGGGAAUUUUGCGCAAUGGGCGAAAGCCUGACG
rnacentral:rRNA from 1 species